UACAGAGGUCUCAAGCGUUGUUCGGAUUUACUGGGCGUAAAGAGCGCGCAGGCGGUCGAUCAAGUCGAGUGUGAAAGCCCCCGGCUCAACUGGGGAGGGUCAUUCGAUACUGAUCGACUCGAAGGCAGGAGAGGGUAGUGGAAUUCCCGGUGUAGUGGUGAAAUGCGUAGAUAUCGGGAGGAACACCAGUGGCGAAGGCGACUACCUGGCCUGUUCUUGACGCUGAGGCGCGAAAGCUAGGGGAGCAAACGGGG
rnacentral:rRNA from 1 species